GAGUUUGAUCCUGGCUCAGGAUGAACGCUGGCGGCGUGCUUAACACAUGCAAGUCGAACGAGCGAGAGAGAGCUUGCUUUCUCGAGCGAGUGGCGAACGGGUGAGUAACGCGUGAGGAACCUGCCUCAAAGAGGGGGACAACAGUUGGAAACGACUGCUAAUACCGCAUAAGCCCACGACCCGGCAUCGGGUAGAGGGAAAAGGAGCAAUCCGCUUUGAGAUGGCCCCGCGUCCGAUUAGCUAGUUGGUGAGGUAAUGGCUCACCAAGGCGACGAUCGGUAGCCGGACUGAGAGGUUGAACGGCCACAUUGGGACUGAGACACGGCCCAGACUCCUACGGGAGGCAGCAGUGGGGGAUAUUGCACAAUGGGGGAAACCCUGAUGCAGCGACGCCGCGUGGAGGAAGAAGGUUUUCGGAUUGUAAACUCCUGUCGUUAGGGACGAUAAUGACGGUACCUAACAAGAAAGCACCGGCUAACUACGUGCCAGCCGCCGCGGUAAUUC
rnacentral:rRNA from 1 species